rnacentral:rRNA from 1 species
CCGACGGGGGGCAGCAGGGAGGAAUAUGGGGCAAUGGGAGGAAGAAGGAAGCAGCCAAGUAGCGUGCAGGAUGACGGCCCUACGGGUUGUAAACUGCUUUUAUACGGGAAUAACGCGCCUUACGUGUAGGGCUUUGCAUGUACCGUAUGAAUAAGGACCGGCUAAUUCCGUGCCAGCAGCCGCGGUAAUACGGAAGGUCCGGGCGUUAUCCGGAUUUAUUGGGUUUAAAGGGAGCGUAGGCCGCAUGUCAAGCGUGCUGUGAAAUGUCCGGGCUCAACCCGGGCCUUGCAGCGCGAACUGGCGUGCUUGAGUCCGCGGAAAGCAGGCGGAAUUCGUCGUGUAGCGGUGAAAUGCUUAGAUAUGACGAAGAACCCCGAUUGCGAAGGCAGCUUGCUGCAGCGGAACUGACGCUGAUGCUCGAAAGCGCGGGUAUCGAACAGGAUUAGAUACCCUAGUAGUC